rnacentral:rRNA from 1 species
GUCCACGCUGUAAACGAUGAGCACUAGGUGUCGUGGGUAUUGACCCCCGCGGUGCCGUAGCUAACGCAUUAAGUGCUCCGCCUGGGGACUACGGCCGCAAGGCUAAAACUCAAAGGAAUUGACGGGGGCCCGCACAAGCGGUGGAGCAUGUGGUUCAAUUCGACGCAACGCGAAGAACCUUACCUGGGGCUAGACAACGGAGGACCGCUCCAGAGAUGGGGCUUUCCCUUCGGGGACCUCCGGUUCAGGUGCUGCAUGGCUGUCGU